rnacentral:snRNA from 1 species
AUACUUACCUGGCAGGGGAGAUACCAUGAUCACGAAGGUGGUUUUCCCAGGGUGAGGCUCAUCCAUUGCACUCCGGGUGUGCUGACCCCUGCGAUUUCCCCAAAUGAAAAAAAAAAAAAAAUUUAGACUAUAAGAUCCUUC